UUAAAGUGCGAACCCGAAUUUAGCAAUGGUGAGAGGUACGCCAAUCCCUUCAUCUCAUUUGAUGUGAUAUACUUUUUUAAAAAAGGUAAGGGAAAAAGGUAUCGUUUUCACCCUAAACUAUAUUCGAAAAGUUGAAGCCACACCUAAACUAUACUAGUUACCUAUUACACACCUAAAUUAUAAAAAAGUGAAACUAUUUACACCCUGCAGACUACCACCACUUGCAUGUGGUGUAGUGUUUUACACGCGCUGUCACAUCAGCACCACAUCAGUAAAAAGUAUCACUUUUUUAUAGUUAAAGUUUGGGGUGAAAACGAUGCAUUUUCCCUUAAUGUUUUUAGCCGUUUACUUAUGUUAUUUAAUAGGCUGGACGCGCCUAAAAUAAGUGUAACACACACGCCUUAGAAUGGGGGUCGCGGGGAGGUAAUAAUAUCACUUUUAUAUAGUUAAGGUAUGUAAUAAUUUAUUAUAUAAUUUAGGUGUGGCUUAGACUUUUCUUGUAUAGUCUGGGGUAGAAAUAAUGUCUUUUGCUUUUUAUUUUACCUUCAAUGAUAUGAUUCAGUAAUGUUCGUAUCUUGUUUGAUACCACAAGUUUCAAAAGCUUUUUUGUUUGUUCUUAGACUCUAUGCCGAGUCAAAUAGCUUCUCAUAAAUUGAGACGGAGGGAAUAACUCAAGGUCUCCGCAUUCUAGCAAAGAGCAUAUGUACUAAUCUGUGGUGCCAAGUUACAUUGGAAUUAUCUUUUUUCCAGAACCACAAGAAGCUGUUUGAUUAUUGACAAACUUUGCAAACAAAGAUGAAAUGACAAGUGAGAUGAGGUAGACAACUUGUUUGGAGAUUGUUUAAAGAACUCAAGGUGCAACACAAUUGGAAACCUCUGGAUGUAAGCGAAUUUUCGCGCUGGUCAAGACCUAUACUAUCAGUAGUUUCUGAUUUUCUUCGUUGUAUGUGAAUAGAUUACACUGUUUGUACAACUUCCCUUGCCAACGCAUUGAGUAGGUAAGUUAUCACCGUAUCAUUAUAUCUCUCCACUUAUCGAAGGGCAUGUGUAUUCGAGGGUGCUAUUACUGAAGUUUAUGUUUCAAUCAAUUUUUUGCAUCGAUUAAAAGUUUUUUAUGUUUCAAUUAAUAUUGAAACAAAUGCAUUUUGAGUUACAAAGAAAAUGAAUGUGAAAUUACAAUUGAAACAAAUGCAUCUUGAGUUAUUAACAAUUGUCAAUUCAUUUGCGUUUUAGGUUCUUGAAACUUGAAAGAAAGAUAAUUUUUGUUCAUGAACCUAUUAACUAUUGCUUAAUUAAUACUUUUCACUUGCAUGAAAAUUUUACCCUAUAAGUAGUGUUUCUUUUGUUUGGAAAAGAUAAGCACUCAAAACUACUUUCCCCUUGAAAAACACUUGAGAGACAUUGAUCAAAUGGUGAAAUCACCAAUUCAAGAAUAGAAGAACAACAUUCUUGAAUACUACUUGUUUUGUGGCUUAGUUGAAUCCUGAAGAUAGAGUUGUCACUAGUUCUUCCGUUUGCUCGUGGGAGAGAUUCCAACUAUCUUCAAAAAGCGUGUUAUCGUGCCCCUAAGCCAAGCAAGUUUUAUUUUGAAUUUCUUGUACCAUUAUUAUUAUUAUUCUAACAAUUUGAAGAUAGUUGUCCUUUCCUAAGAAUAGUUUUUCAGGUAAAAUCUUCCUUGCUUUACCCGACAGGACAAUGUAAAGGCUGACAACAAUCACAACAACACCAAGUACCCUGCAAAGAAAAACAUUAUAGUUUGUGUUGAGCGAAGCUUAUAAGAGCUUUACCAAAAUUACCUUCCCAGGUUUAGUUGUUCACGUAGAAUGAUUAUACUCAAUAUAGCUAAUAUAACCAUGCUUAAUGGAUUAAAAGAUGUGACGAAAAUAGGACCCGUGACUUUCAUUAUGACUCCUUAUAUGUAAUAUGCAAGUCCUGAAUAGAAUAUUCUUUGGAUUGUGACAUCGAAAGUGAGAAGCUUUUAAAUGCUUCUAAAUUUCCCCCCCUAACUUCUCUCAUUUUGCAGAAGUUGCUUGCUACAGUGGUUAGGGAAGAUUGAUAUUUAUGUUCAUGUCUUAUAUCAACUGUUAUUCAUUGUCUUUGCAAAAUUUGUUCUUGCAGAUUUCUGAAGAAUAAAGUUACAAGGGAAGAUGCAAGUUUGGAAAAUGCACAAGCCCAUUAUUAUUUUGCUAAGAACAUUACUUAACAUCAUAUUCUAGCUCGGAAAGUUAAUUUGUUAAGUUUUUUUUUUUUGUUUAGCAAAUAUUGAAACUAUUGAUAUUAGCUCGGGAUGUUAAUUGGUUAAGUUUUUUUGGUUUAGCCAAUAUUGAAAUUAUAUUUAUCAUCCUUUGACAUUUUCAAUAGCAAUUUUAUAUUUAGCAAUGAAAUAUAUAACUUUUAUGAUAUGAAGUUUCAG
rnacentral:lncRNA from 1 species